rnacentral:pre_miRNA from 1 species
GAGAUGCCCCUAUGGAGCAGGACUUGCUUCAGUGGGAUUAUGGUACCCUCUGAGUCUGCACCUUGAAUGUGUCACU